UACGAAGGGGGCUAGCGUUGCCCGGAAUUACUGGGCGUAAAGGGCGCGUAGGCGGCACUGUUAGUCAGGCGUGAAAGUCCUGGGCUCAACCUGGGAACUGCGCUUGAUACGGCAGAGCUAGAGGAUGGAAGAGGCUCGCGGAAUUCCCAGUGUAGAGGUGAAAUGCGCAGAUAUCAGGAAGAACACCAAUGGCGAAAGCAGCUCUCUGGGACGGUACUGACGCUGAGACGCGAAAGCGUGGGGAGCGAACAGG
rnacentral:rRNA from 1 species